ACCUGGGUGGCUCAGUCGGUUAAGCGUCUGACUUCGGCUCAGGUCAUGAUCUCACUGCUCGUGGGUUCGAGCCCCGCAUCGGGCU
rnacentral:tRNA from 1 species